rnacentral:rRNA from 1 species
CUACGGGAGGCAGCAGUGAGGAAUCUUGCGCAAUGGGGGAAACCCUGACGCAGCCACGCCGCGUGCCAGAUGAAGGCCCUACGGGUCGUAAAUGGCUUUUGGUCGGGAAGAUAAGCCGGGUUUCGACCUGGUGUGACGGUACCGACUGAAUAAGCACCGGCUAACUCCGUGCCAGCAGCCGCGGUAAUACGGAGGGUGCAAGCGUUGUCCGGAAUCAUUGGGUGUAAAGGGUGCGUAGGCGGAUGUCUAAGUCUGGGGUGAAAUCUUGCAGCUUAACUGUAAAAUUGCCUUGGAUACUGGAUGUCUUGAGUACAGAAGAGGAUGGUGGAAUUCGUAGUGUAGCGGUGAAAUGCAUAGAUAUUACGAAGAACACCGGUGGCGAAAGCGGCCAUCUGGUCUGUUACUGACGCUGAGGCACGAAAGCGUGGGGAGCGAACAGGAUUAGAUACCCUGGUAGUCCACGCCGUAAACGAUGUGUGCUAGUUGUUGGCCUGUAUGGGCCAGUGACGUAGUUAACGCGCUAAGCACACCACCUGGGGAGUACGUUCGCAAGAAUGAAACUCAAAG